UAAAACGUGUCUCUGUGCCCACUAUGGCUCUGCUGAGUAAAGAGGAAGGUGAUGGCAUUGUGUUGGAGUGCCAGUUGAAGGAUUAUUACCCAGAAAGAGUUACUGUAAACUGGUUAAGCGAUAAUCAGCCUCUCACUGCUAAUUAUAAUAAAGUGUUGCAGAACAUUGGUAAAGUGGAGACAAAAUAUACUUACAUAAGUCAAAUAUCUAUCGGCACUCUGUAUGAAGGCAAACGGUACACUUGUAAAGCCACCCACGAGUCUAAGACCUUCACCCAAGAAUAUAACUCGUGCACGUCAAAGUCUGUGUUAAAACCUUCAAUCAAAGUAAAGAGAACCCGUCUCGAAGAAAUUUUCAAGGGCAGCAAACACCAAUUCUCUUGUACUGUUAAAGCGCCACACACCACUACAGUGUCGUGGUUGGCAAAUGAUGUCAGCAAAGUUGGCACCAUUUCCAAUGAACAGCCCAAUAUCAUUGUAAACAACCUGACUUUGUCCAAAAAUGAAUGGUCGAGACUGAAUACUAUUGCUUGUAUUGCUAAACAUCCAUGUUUCCCAGAAGAGAAAGUUGAAAUUCCAGCUGAUGAUAUGAAAAAGGUUCCUGUAGUAGUGAUCAGGAGGCCUUUCAAGAAAUCAGCUCAGUCUGACGGUGCUUUGCUGGAGUGUGUUGUAAAAGAUCUCUCCUCUAGUGAGGUCUGCAUCAAAUUCCAGGCCAACAAUGCUGAUAUCUCAGACUUCAUUUGUACGGAUUGUGCCCCUUCUGAAAACAUUUGGUCCCUGACCACACCUUUUACAAUACCUACUGAUCAGCAGAAGAAAGACAAAACUUUUACCUGUACAGUUUAUGGUCCCUUCAGUCGCAGCUGGAAAUCAGAACCUACUGGAUACAUUUUUGGUGAUCCUACCGUAGAGCUUGUUGCUGUUCCCAGUGUGGGUCAGUCUAGUUCAGAGACACAGAAGCUGCUGUGUUCUGGGGAAGGAUUUGACCCGAAGAUCAAAUGGCUUUCAAAAUCUGUGGAGAAACCUCACACAGCUUUUGAUGUCACAAUGAUGGAGAACGGUCGUGUGAAAGUGUACAGUGAGAUAUCCGUGCCACAGCAAGAGUGGAAUCAAGGGGUUACUUACACCUGUCAAAUUGCUGAUGGAGGCAGUACGAAACCUACACAAAAUAAAGACAUCAAUAUUUGUGGAGUGAUUGCACCUUCCAGUCUGAAGGCAGCGGUCUACCUGUUGGGUCCUUCCCAAAACCAUGUGAGAUCUGGCGCAGCUCUGAAUUUGACCUGUUUGGUUGUUGGUCAGAGUGUCAAGCAUUUCUCCAUCCGGUGGAAAAAGAAUGGAGCUAAUUCAAAUGUCUUUGAACAAAAUCCCAUAGAUCAUGCCAAUGGCACUCAAAGCAAGGAAAGUAUUCUGAAGGUUUCAUUUGACCAGUGGAAUGCAUAUGCUCACUUUACCUGUGAGGUAAAGCAUUUGUGCUCUAAAGACACACAGCAGCACAACAUCUCAAAAACCAGAGACCCCAAACAACCCAUUGUGAGCAUCCUCCGACCCUCAGACAGCGAUCUCUCUGGACUCCAAAAUACCAGCCUUCUUUGCUUCAUCACUGGUUUCUUCCCAUCUGAUAUCUCCGUAGAGUGGCAACUAAAUGGGACGAAACUCGAUGAGUCUCACUUCACUAACAGUCCUGUGGUUGCUCACACUUCAGGAGGUUUUUCAAUGCAUAGUGCCCUAAUAUUGCCUGCAUCACAGAGGAAAGAAGGCGCGUACUCUUGCAUUGUUUCUCAUGAGUCAUCCCAAAGUCCAUUUAACGCAACUUUGGAGAACUUGUAUGCCUCGGUGAUCCACUCUGCUCCAUCUGUAGAGCUGCUGCAGAGUGCUAGUAGGCUGGUGUGUCUGGUGUAUGGUUUCAGCCCAUCCGCCAUCAACAUCACCUGGCUGCUUGGAACGACUGAAGUGUCUGCCCAUAAUGAUACCAACCCUGCAAAAGGCCCUGAUGGAAAAUUUAGCAUCCGAAGUUACCUGCAGCUCCUGCCUGCAAAGUGGGCACCUGGUGAGGUGUACAGCUGCAGAAUCACUCAUGCUACUGGUACCCAGUUGCAUAACAUUUCCAAAUCAGCAAUGUUUGAAGAGGCUAUAUUUAUGAAUGAGAACAGACCUGAAUCUGUCACACAGGAUACAGUUGAAGAGGCAUGGAAUAUGGCCUGUGCCUUCCUCGCCCUCUUCCUCCUCUCUCUUCUCUAUGGCUGCACAGUGACAUUGCUCAAAGUGAAGCCUGAAUGAGCAACAUUUGUGUGUGUGUGUGUGUGUGUGUGUGUGUGUUUCCCUGGCUUCCUUUGCUUUUAGUUUAUGCAUUUUCUUUAAGUUUUCUUAGCUUUGCAAAAGUGAUAUGGUAAAUAUCAACUUUUGGCCCUGUGGACAUCUAAAGUGAAUAAAUCUUCUAACACUUUUUAUUAUUAAUUUAAUCUGUCUAUACUAACAAUAUAUAGCAGUCUAUAAACAUAUCACAUGAGAUUUCUGUCAUUUUUUAAAAAAUUAAUCCAUAAAGUUCCACUGUAUCUUAAAUUGUGCAUUGUGUGUUUAAAAACAUUCUGUAAUUAAAUAAAAUUUUGGAAUAAAA